rnacentral:rRNA from 1 species
UGGGGAAUAUUGCACAAUGGGCGCAAGCCUGAUGCAGCCAUGCCGCGUGUAUGAAGAAGGCCUUCGGGUUGUAAAGUACUUUCAGCGGGGAGGAAGGCGUUGUGGUUAAUAACCACAGCGAUUGACGUUACCCGCAGAAGAAGCACCGGCUAACUCCGUGUCAG